rnacentral:rRNA from 1 species
AGUGAACCCUGGCGGUAGGCCUAACACAUGCAAGUCGAACGGCAGCACAGUAAGAGCUUGCUCUUACGGGUGGCGAGUGGCGGACGGGUGAGGAAUACAUCGGAAUCUACUUUUUCGUGGGGGAUAACGUAGGGAAACUUACGCUAAUACCGCAUACGACCUACGGGUGAAAGCAGGGGAUCUUCGGACCUUGCGCGAUUGAAUGAGCCGAUGUCGGAUUAGCUAGUUGGCGGGGUAAAGGCCCACCAAGGCGACGAUCCGUAGCUGGUCUGAGAGGAUGAUCAGCCACACUGGGACUGAGACACGGUCCAGACUCCUACGGGAGGCAGCAGUGGGGAAUAUUGGACAAUGGGCGCAAGCCUGAUCCAGCCAUACCGCGUGGGUGAAGAAGGCCUUCGGGUUGUAAAGCCCUUUUGUUGGGAAAGAAAAGCAGCAGGUUAAUACCCCGCUGUUCUGACGGUACCCAAAGAAUAAGCACCGGCUAACUUCGUG